rnacentral:rRNA from 1 species
UACGUAGGGCGCAAGCGUUAUCCGGAAUUAUUGGGCGUAAAGAGCUCGUAGGCGGUUUGUCGCGUCUGCCGUGAAAAUCCGGGGCUCAACCCCCGGACUUGCAGUGGGUACGGGCAGACUAGAGUGUGGUAGGGGAGACUGGAAUUCCUGGUGUAGCGGUGGAAUGCGCAGAUAUCAGGAGGAACACCGAUGGCGAAGGCAGGUCUCUGGGCCAC